UCCAGUUAUUGUGCUGCAAGUUGUCAUUGUCAUAGUGUUUCAACCAGCUCUUAUUAACCCACAGAGCACAGCAUUCCAGACACAAGCAAUAAUAGUUCAAAAUGCAUGUGAUCUGGUCUACCGACGACGCUUUGGAUUCUUCUUUGUACGGACCAUUGUCAGAGCAUUCAGGUUGGUUUCUCGAAACCGAAUGGACAAUGUUGAGACAGAUGUUGACCUUGUGUUUAAUUCGGAUUCAACGGAACCCCUCCCUCCAAGUUCUGAUGUUGUGGAAACCUUGGCUACUGCCUUAAAUGACUCGAAUUCAGGCUUUAAUCUGACUGUGCUACCUGAAUCCAUUUCUGUG